rnacentral:tRNA from 1 species
GGGAAGCUGGUGCAACUGGUUGAGACACAAUGGAUUUAGGCUCCAUAAGUAGAAAUACUUCUAAGGGUUCGACUCCCUUGCUUCCUA